CUGGUUGAUCCUGCCAGUAGUCAUAUGCUUGUCUCAAAGAUUAAGCCAUGCAUGUCUAAGUAUAAGUUCUUUACUGCGAAACUGUGAAUGGCUCAUUAUAACAGUUAUUAUUUCCUAGCCGGUCAGUGAUUCCUUGGAUACCCAUGGUAAUUCUAGAGCUAAUACAUGCUUACAAACCCGACUUCACGGAAGGGUUGCGCUUAUUAGAUACCGAACCAACCCAGGUUCUGCCUGGUUUUUGUUGAUUCAUAGUGUUCUGGCGAAUCGACUCGUAAGAGUCGAUGAGGCUAUCAAGUUUCUGACCUAUCAGCUUCCGACGGUAGGAUAUUGGCCUACCGUGGCUUUGACGGGUAACGGAGAAUUAGGGUUCGAUUCCGGAGAGGGAGCCUGAGAAACGGCUACCACAUCUAAGGAAGGCAGCAGGCGCGUAAAUUACCCAAUCCUGACACAGGGAGGUAGUGACAAGAAAUAUCAAUAUAAGACGUUUUGUCUUGUAAUUGGGAUGAGCGAAACAUAAACCGCUUCUCGAGUAUCAAUUGGAGGGCAAGUCUGGU
rnacentral:rRNA from 1 species